UACGAAGGGGGCUAGCGUUGCUCGGAAUCACUGGGCGUAAAGGGUGCGUAGGCGGGUUUUUAAGUCAGGGGUGAAAUCCUGGAGCUCGACUCCAGAACUGCCUUUGAUACUGAAGAUCUUGAGUCCGGGAGAGGUGAGUGGAACUGCGAGUGUAGAGGUGAAAUUCGUAGAUAUUCGCAAGAACACCAGUGGCGAAGGCGGCUCACUGGCCCGGUACUGACGCUGAGGCACGAAAGCGUGGGGAGCAAACAGG
rnacentral:rRNA from 1 species